rnacentral:lncRNA from 1 species
AUGCAGCACAGGCCACAGCAUGUACAAGAUCUUGCAAGAGGAUUUGCAGACUCCAGCCAAGGAAAUGCAAUGUUGCUCCAAAGCCACAUGCAGCGCAAGCUCACACUAGUUGACACCAUCAUCCUGCUCUGCUCCGCAAAACCCCAAAUGCGAGGCUCAUCUUCUUCAAAACCUUCUCCCCAUGGAUGGCCCCAGAUGGUGUCUGACAAUGAGCAGCAACUUUCCUUCAUCCUUUUUAUACGUGUGAAUCCCUGAAGGUGACUGGGAAAAUCAGGAGCUGCUGCCAGCAAGCACUUCCUAUGCAUAAUAAAGCACAGGAGGCAAGGAGGCUUUUUCUGUAA